rnacentral:pre_miRNA from 7 species
CUUCGGGGUUCCUGAGUGUCAGCAGAUCUCGGUGGGACCUCCAAAUGAAAGAACCUAGUGGGGAAACUCCCACUCAACUCCCGAUUCGGCGUGCACCCAAGAAUCACGAAUAGAACA